ensembl:lncRNA
AUGCAGAGUCUGUCGGGGACAUGCUGCUGGAGGAGUAGAAAACACCACGCUAGAAAAACGGUCAUACAACAGUCAUGCUACCGUUGUACUAGUACAAAGUUCAUACCAACGUUGUACUAUCAUACGGUAGAACAACGUUCAUACAGAACCACGUGCUCCAUGCGUUUGUCCUCCAACAGGAAGUUGUUAUUAAAUGAAGGACAACAACCCAGUGGAUCCAAAGAACCUCUUAGAACAGCUCUGGAGCAGCAGGACUCAGACAGACAUCAUACAGGGACAUCACAUGGUUGUAAGCCCCGCCCCUCUGUGGUGUGCAGCACAUUUGAUGUUAUCAAAAUGUCCUCUCGAAUGACUGAAAGGCGAAGAACCCGAAACCAUCAAAAUCAGUUGGACUUUAAGGUCACAUUUAAUGAAGAAGAUCCAUCACCAGAUAUCUGCACUGGGUCUCAGGGUCUCUUUGGGGGCUCUAAACUGGAGGUGGACUUCUGGAUUGAUCAGUAUGGAUGCGUUUUCAGGUUGAUUCUUUAA